ensembl:lncRNA
CAGGAUUCAAUUUUCAAUCCAAUUAUAUCCUAUAUUCUCGCAGUCAAACUCGUCCAGCUUCAUCUCUCACUGGUCCUUUUCCAUUCACAGUGUCCUGUUCGGGCUUCAAAGCUCCAGCAAACACAGUCUCAACUCAGCUGUUGUCUUCUUCUCUGUUUCUUUACAGUCUUUUCUUUUAAGUUAAGUCCCAGCAUGGCAAAAUAUCACUCAAUGUCCAGUGCUCUUCCACAAUUCUUUAUCCCACUGUUCAACUGCCCAGCCUGUAUUUUCACAGUACAUGUUGCAUUACUCUUACAUGCUGCUGCUGGUCGUCAGUCGUCAUCAGUGUUAAUGGAUCAGUGGCACUGUCAAUUGUGGAAGAGCACUGGACAUUGAGUGAUAUUUUGCCACGCUGGGACUUAAUCUGAAAGAAAAGACUGUAAAGAAACAGAGAAGAAGACAGCAGCUGAGUUGAGACUGUGUUUGCUGGAGCUUUGAAGCCCGAAUAGGACAUUGUGCAGAGAGGACCAGUGAGAGAUGAAGCUGGACGAGUUUGACUGCGAGAAUAUAGGAUAUAAUUGGAAUGAAAAUUGAAGCCUGAACUCAUGAAUUGUUUAGGGAUGUCCACCACCGCAUAACAAAGAGGCCUGGAAGAGAGUGAACUGACGGCGCGGACAAAUUACCAAGUAAGGAUUGCAGCGAGUCAAUCCAGUCAAAAGUAUAGAGAACUAUUUUCCUAAAAAGGAAAAACGAAAUAAAACAAAUGAUUGAGCUCAUUUUGCUGAUGUGGAGCAUCUGAUCACGUGCGCAGAAGGCUGCAGAUCAGCAAAAAUAUCAUGUGUGAAUGCAUGGGAGUGAAUGUGAGUGAUGGGACCAAGAGGGGAAAUAAAUAAAAGGUUGACAAACAGGACAAGUGGGAGACUUAAAUCUGGGGAUGCUGAUUUUGGGAUAUUGAUGUGUGCGUUGAGAAAAUUAUUUAUUGGGGUUGGAUUAUGUUAUUACAUUAUAGGAUGUUAAAUGCUAAAAGGGAAACAUUGAUGUAACUUAAGUUACCAUGAACGGAGGGGACACAUGAUUAAUAACUGUUCUGUGUAAGUUUAUUUUGUGUUAUAACACAGGUUGGAUCAUCAGUGGAGAAAGUGAGUAUAAAAGGUGAUGUUCUGGUUAACACACAGGCUUUUGUUUAUAGGACGUUUCAAGGAUGCAGGCUGUGGAUGGAGCCAAGAAAAGAUUUGACAUGAUGAUUAAUUUGAUUUCAUUCCUUAAAAACAGGUUUGAAGGUCCGGAGCAUGUAGACUUAAUAUGAUAUGACUAACCUUUUUAAUGCCCUAACCUGAGUGAAGGAUUUUGAGUUUGUAACACAUGAGAUGUGUCACAAAAAGGG